CUUUCUCUUUUCCUCUAGUACUCAAGAAAGACAAGAGGCAGGUGUAUGUACUCGUUUGCCAUGGGGAAGAUAUGCUGCGCGGAAUCAGAUGAUGAUAGCGGUUUGGAUCUUAAAGUGAUUCUGGUUUUGAUUGUAUUAGCUUUUUUGGUAAUGUCAAUCUGCAUACCUCCAAGGCAGCCAAGGGUUUAUGCUGUGUAUCGCUGUUGUUAGGCACUAUCCUUCAAGCUUAACUCUCUGUUUUCAUUAUUUCUUGUGCAGCAAUAAUGGGUUGCUCACAGAAAUUAUUUAGCGUUUACUAUCUUUUUUCUGAUGUUGUGUAGCUAUUCUUGCGGAAAGUAGUCACAGAAAUAGAUUUUUUUUUCUUUGCAAUUAAACAUAUUGUACUAUUAUUCAUGUUUCUUGCC
rnacentral:misc_RNA from 1 species